rnacentral:rRNA from 1 species
UACGGAGGUGGCAAGCGUUGCUCGGAAUCACUGGGCGUAAAGCGCACGUAGGCGGCUUUUUAAGUCAGGGGUGAAAUCCUGGAGCUCAACUCCAGAACUGCCUUUGAUACUGGCGAUCUUGAGUCCGGGAGAGGUGAGUGGAACUGCGAGUGUAGAGGUGAAAUUCGUAGAUAUUCGCAAGAACACCAGUGGCGAAGGCGGCUCACUGGCCCGGUACUGACGCUGAGGUGCGAAAGCGUGGGGAGCAAACAGG